UCUUACAUAUUGAUUCAUUUAUACAGUGGGUUGCUUCCUUCUGACGUUGGGAUUGGUGUUAGGCCUUGUCUGUUCAGUGUCCACCGCUGGCCCACAGUGCUUCGCAUGCUCAUCAGUAUAUCGCCUGGAAUUUUGUGGUCAUGUAACACAAUGUGCGGAAGGAGAGAAAUGCUAUAUACAGAAGAUACGCUCACAAAACCGACAGGACCAGUACACAUCUGGGUGUAUCAGUAACCAGAGUUGUUCCUUGGGCACGGAUUUCCAUGGAUUGUCUCCCUACGGACAGGUGACAUGUGUGGAGUGCUGUGACGGCGACACGUGUAACAACCAGGGCUGUGGUGAUGCAGGACUACCAGCCCGGGAAUCACGUGGACCCUACUGCUUCCAGUGUCAUCAAUGGCCGGCUACAAAGUACUGUGACAAAGUCGCUAUUUGCGACAGGAGUG